GCCGUUCCCGACCCCGUAGCGUCCUUGCAGAACAGCUGCCGCGCAGUCGGCCGGGUGGUGCCGGUUCGGUCUCUCUAUGGAGCGGGGCGCGGCGGUGGCUGUGAGGCGGCUCCGCGCCGCUGGCGGAGAGCGGGAGCCCCGGGCCCCGCAGCACCCGCCGUUGCCGGGGCACGGGGUGGAGGACUCAGGUGGGAAGAAGCGGGACUGCCCCGCCGGCGGCUCCCGGUGGCGGCUGCUUCCUGAGGCCCGGGGGGCGCUGCUGGUGCUGCUCUACCUGCUGGCACUGCGGGCCCUGGUGCAGCUCUCCAUGCGGCAGCUGCUGCGCCGGCCGGGGCCGCGGGACUUCAGCGCCCCCCGGGCCAGGGAAUAUCUUGAAAACAUAACGGCAGUUGGUCCCAGGACAGUCGGAAGUCCAGAAAAUGAAAUUCUCACAGUUAACUACCUCUUAGAACAAAUUAAGGCAAUUGAAAUAGAAAGCAGUGAUGCACAUAAGAUUUCUGUAGAUAUACAGAGGCCAACGGGCUCCUUCAGCAUUGACUUCUUAGGUGGCUUUACCAGUUACUAUGCGAACAUAACUAAUGUUGUGGUUAAGCUGGAGCCCAGAAGUGGAGCUAAGCAUGCCGUGCUAUCCAAUUGCCACUUUGACUCUGUACCAAAUACCCCAGGUGCCAGUGAUGAUGCUGUUAGUUGCUCAGUGAUGCUUGAAAUACUGAACACUCUCUCAAAGUCAUCUGAUCCCUUGCAACAUGCUGUCAUAUUCCUUUUCAACGGUGCAGAAGAAAAUAUCUUGCAGGCUAGUCAUGGCUUCAUUACACAACACCGCUGGGCCAAGUCGAUUAGAGCAUUUAUUAACCUGGAGGCAGCAGGUGUAGGAGGGAAAGAACUUGUAUUUCAGACAGGGCCUGAAAAUCCUUGGUUGGUACAAGCAUAUGUCUUUGCAGCCAAGCAUCCCUUUGCCUCUGUGGUGGCACAGGAAGUGUUUCAGAGUGGAAUUAUCCCUGCAGAUACAGACUUCCGUAUCUACAGGGACUUCGGGAAUAUUCCAGGAAUAGACUUGGCUUUUAUUGAAAAUGGCUACAUUUACCAUACAAAAUAUGACACACCAGACAGAAUACUAACGGAUUCAAUUCAGAGAGCAGGUGACAAUAUAUUAGGAAUGCUAAAAUACUUAGCAACAUCAGAUAAAUUGGCAAAAUCUUUUGACUAUCGGCAUGGAAAUGUGGUCUUCUUUGAUGUAUUUGGUCUGUUUGUCCUGGCCUACCCUGCUCGUGUUGGCACCAUCAUGAACUAUAUAAUAACUGCAGUUACUGUCCUUUAUCUAGGAAAAAAAAUAUUACAGCCCAGAAACAGGGCUAUUAACUACAUGAAGGAGCUCUCCGUUGCAUUUGGCUUCACAUUGUUAAGUUGGUUCUCCACAUUAGUGACUGUUCUUAUUGUGGCAGUGUUCAUCUCUCUCAUCGGACGGUCUCUUUCUUGGUAUAACCACUUCUAUGUCUCCAUCUUCUUGUAUGGAACUGCAGCUGCAGCUAAACUAAUCCUUGUGCACACGUUAGCCAAAAAGUUCUAUUAUAAGAAUACAAAUGAGCAGUACCUGGGGGAGAUGUUCUUUGAUGUCUCACUUCUUGUUUGGUCUAUUGCAUUGGUUCUAAUCACUCAGCUAGGCCUUUGCUCUGCAUUCAUCUGUGCAAUGUGGGUAGCGUUUCCUUUACUCACAAAACUAUUGACCUAUAGAGAAUUCAAACAAAAAGGUGCCACAAUAAGAUUUGUUGUGAUUUACAUGCUGGGAAUGUUUAUUCCAUACCUGUAUAUAAUGUACCUCACCUGGACGAUAUUUGAAAUGUUCAUUCCCAUCAUGGGUCGAAGUGGUACAGAAAUUCCACCUGAUGUAGUGCUGGCAGCCUUUAUCCUUAGCAGCACUGUAAUUCUAUCUUCCUAUUUUCUUAACUUCAUCUAUCUUGCCAAAAGUACAAAGAAGACACUGAUAACUUUAACUACAGUGUUUGGAGUUACACUAAUUCUUGUUUGCAGUGGAGUAUUCUUCCCAUACAGUUCUGAUUCUGCUAAUCCAAAGCCUAAGCGAGUCUUUCUCCAGCACGUGAGCAGAAGAUUUUAUGGCCUAAAUGGAAAUUUGGUAAAAAGUGACUCUGGAAUAUGGAUUAAUGGGUUGGACUAUGCUGGAAUAUCUCACAUCACUCCUCACGUACCUGAACUCAAUGACACUAUCAGAACUAAUUGUGAGGACAAAGCCCCUCUCUGUGGCUUUCCUUGGAUUCUUCCUGUGCACUUUCUUCUCAGAAAGAACUGGUAUCUUCCUGGUGAAGAAAUUUCUCCCGCAAACCCUGUUCACUUUAAACUUCUGGCCAAAGAGCAAAUGCACUGGGAUUCUACAAAGUUAACCUUUGAAGUAUCAGGUCCCAGUCACAUGUCGCUGUACAUUCGACCACAUGAAGGGUCAACACUGUCCAGCUGGUCUCUUGGAGAUGGAAUUCCUGUUGCUAAUAUAGGAGGGGAUUAUUUUGUGUUUUACGCUCAUGGGCUGCAGGCUGUGGCAUGGCGCUUCUGGAUAGAGUUGAAGGUGAUCAGAAUCUUUUAACCAGCAGUGUGUGUUUGGGGCUGUGGAUGUGCUCUAUAUGGCUUCAUGCCACCCCUCUUGAGGGUGCAGCAUCCCCAUCUGCGUAUAGAACAUCUUGAAGAACCUCAGUUACUGUCAGGAAUGAGGGUGAUAAAUUGGAACACAGCUGCACCAGUGCGGUAAUAUAAAUUUCCUCCUCCUGCCUGUAGAUCCAAGGAUUGCAUAAGGUUUUUUGGCUACAGUAGUGUUCACGUUCACCUGAUUAUCUACCAAACUCUUGAGUCAUUGCAUUCCAGGAUUGAUUCCCCAUCGUGUAUCAUCAGAUAACAGGACAGCACCAUACAGCAGUGAUGGGCGUUCAUGAGAAAGGAUGAAUAUCUAGAUGCAAUUUUCUGAGGGUGAUGCAGAAAAGGAUAUGAGAGUGAGAGAAUGAGAAAUAACCUACCUUUAUUAAAUAAAGGAGAGAGGAAUGCAUCUUGCAUAUGAGGUCCAUGGGAUGAAACUGUGUCCAUGUCUCUCUGGGAGGAAUUGAUGGUGCUAAGCCAGCUGUGACUCUGAGGUGCACUUGAGACCCCUGUGUCCAUUUCCACAUUUAAAAAACUGUCUGCAGACUGGGACUUGAGCAGCUGCUCUCCAACAGCUAGAAAUAAGGAGGCAUUUAUAAAAAACAGACCUACCAUACAAGUAGCCAUUUAUCUCCCAAACAACUUUUUACAGUUAUAGCCAAGUCAAAAUUCAAGUAAUUAAGUCGCUGACAAACAAACAAACGCAAGGGAAUGCAGAUCUUAUGGCUAUUGCAAGACGCUUUGAUCAGCCUCACUGUACCUAGACACUGGCACACAGUGAAAGUGCCAUCUAAUAUGUUGCUGGCAUAGCUGAGCUACCAUGUAAACUCACUUUCUUGCACUCUUGAGACAGAAAUUCAGUCUAGUUUAUAGAAUUAAAAGAUGUUUUAAGAUUGCAGUGAGAUCCAUGUGGUAAUCUCUCAAAAUAAUAUAUGGAAAGAUGUAACAACAACGUUGUAAUACAGGUUUGAAAACUGCAGCACAUUCUCACAAUUUUAACUCUUCCAUCUCAUUACCACCACAUUGCUAGCAAAUUUCAUCAGGUCACAUGAAAAACAAGGUGUAGCUUUAAAAAUCAGAUAAAGCUGAUCAAAUGUCCAUCUAAAACCACAUAAUGUACUGAUUUUAGUCACUUUCUUUGGCUGAAAUUGUAUAAAAAGUUGUGUCCAGACUGAUCUGUAACAGAUCUAGUUCUCUGAUUUAAUACAGCUAAAAUAUAACUUCUGAGAGAAAACAGGAAACUACAACAUAACUACUACGAAGACAUGAGGUCUAUGCUAAACAGAAGGGGUUCUGAACCCCUUCAAAACCAUGCGAAGUAAGGAACUGUGCAGGUGAUAAACUUCAACAUGUUCUUUGCUUGGCUGAACUGAGAUUCAAACUGAUGGAGGCAGGAUUGCAGGAGACAAACCUAGUCCACCAAAAUAACUCAGAUGGUACAUCACCUGUCUUGUACUUUCCAUUCUUGAAAGGUGAAUUAACAGAGCAAGCUGGUAUGACUGGAAACGGCCAGAGAAAAUCCUUGUGUAGUCUCUUCAAGGCAAUCACAAAAUCCUCCACACGGGCAGCUCGUGCUCGCUCCUUACACAGCCAGCCAAUCAGCUCAAAGCCUAGUUGUGCAGCAAAGCAGCCAAGGUCUUUAAGCCUGAUUUCCUCCAGCAAGCGUCGAGCAUGACGCCAGAGCAUCAUAUCAAUGUACAUGUUCUCAGCACAGUCGCUGUCUUUACUCCACCUGUGGACCAACACAAGUGAAGCGGUGAUAGUAAGACUGUAGCUUAAAAGUCCUUUACCCAAGAGUCUUCACUAUCACGAUGAUCUAUGUGACAAUAGGAAUGUGGCAGAUAGAAACUAGAUUAAAAGAAAAGGAGGACUUGUGGCAUCUUAGAGACUAACAAAUUUGAGCAUAAGCUUUUGUGAGCUACAGCUCACUUCAUUGGAAUGCAUCCGAAAGCUCAUACUCAAAUAAAUUUGUUAGUCUCUAAGGUGCCACAAAUACUCCUUUUCUUUUUGCGAAUAUAAACUAACACAGCUGUUCCUCUGAAACCAGAAACUAGAUAGGCAGCACCAGCUGCAGGGGCUUAAAGUCUUAGCAGUAAAGGCAAAGCACUAGGGAAGCAAGGAGCAGCCCCCCCCCGUUUCAAAGUGGCCUCUCAGAGAAAGCAAACUCCAGAAGACUGUGGCACUAGCAAUUGCUCUCACAGACAAACACUCCUGCCAGUCUCUAAGCCCUCAGCUGGGGCUCCCCUGUUCAGCAGGGGGAUGAGUCCCACCUGCUCUGCAUCAUCCUACUGAGCCCUAACCAUCUUCACCUGGACCCCCCUGCAGAGUCCCAUUGCCCCGCACCCAGAACUCCCCCCCAAUAAGCCCCUGUGCACCGAGAUUGCUCACUGAGCUGCCCACACCAGGAUCCUGCUAGCCUGAGUCUGCCUGCCCACAGCUGGUGUGCCUGCCACAGAGGGGCAGAGCCCUGGGGUGUUUCUGGGGCAGCCUCACCACCGAGUCCCUGUCCUGGGGUGGGGGACUGUAGGGUAAUCUCUGAUCUUCAUGCAGUCAGUGACCUGUGCUCUCCACUGCCCUGGUGGAGCCUCCACAUUUAUUUACUGAAAUUAAAAUUUGCAGAUAUUUUUUUGGGGGGCGGGAUGCAGAAUUUUUAGGCUCAGAAUUCCCUCAGGAGUAGCAAUGUCACUGUGCUGUGGCACCAGGAGUUAAUUCAGGAUAACUAGCUUUCAGCAAAUGACUCUUCAGGAGAUGGACAUACAUGAAAAAUCAUGGUAGUCCUGCAAGUUUUGGGAGAGGUGAGCUUUUCCCUGGGUCAAUGUUUCAUAUAGGUACUGAGUGUCUAACAUGAACUUUAAAUACUGAUCCAGGCAGUCGACUUUGUGCUGGUGGUGGAAUAGUAGCAAUCUUCAAACAGGAGAGGCCCGUGAAGUCCAAGAACCCACUGAAGAGGAUAACAGAGGAAAUGUGCUUCAUAUACAGUCAUGCAGAUAUCUACUCUGUUCCUUCCUACACCAAGCACCAUAUCUGCAUGGGAGGGGGACACUGCCUUUAAAAACAAAAAUGUGUAGUACUCUGGAACAUAAAUGUCUUACUAGAUCAGACCAGGGUCCAUCUAGUCCAGUACUUGGUCUCUAACAAUGGCCAAUACCAGCUCCUUUACAGAAAGGAAGGGAAUAGAAGAAAAAUAGCAUAACCUACUCCCAAUAAAGUUUGUCCUAACUUCCAAUAGUUAGAGAUUUCAGUAAACUCUGAAGCUUAAUGUUUUUAUCCCUUUAUGUGAUUGAAAGAGGAUGAACACUGUAAUUUUCAAAAUAAAAAUACCACAAGAACAACAAUCAAAACUGAUACUUGGGAGAAACAUUUAGAUGGAAUUCUUCUGGCAGAUCAACACCAGAUUCAGAGAAAGCUGGUCCAUUCCACAUAAGUGUUUAGCACUUCCUGAGAGUGAGUGAUUUUCUUCAAGUAGGAGUCUUUUACAAGAAUCUUUCAUCUGGCAGCUUAGGGAAAAAGAUGUUUCCCUGGACAGAAUCCUCCCACCAUGAAGAUGACAACUGCACACUGAACAGAAGGAAGGGUGACAAAUUCCACCUGCUCAGAAGCACAAAGAUUUAGGAAAUCAAUGCUUAUAGCUAAAAAUUCCAUAGGGAAUUUCUGUGCUUGGGCUGGGAGGAAUUCUUAAUACUAAAGUCAUAAAUCUAACAACUUCGAUCCAACUACUAGAAAUAUCCUAAUUUUAAAUGGUACAAACAAGGAAAAAAAGUUUUAAAAUAGCUUAAGAUUGGAGAAAAUUCUCCUAAGAACAUAACUGAAUUCAGUUUGCAGGACAUGAAUCUGACUUCACUGUAACUAAAAUUGAUUUGAACUACAUGCUUUCACUUGUAAUUGCCAGAAUUAUUGCUCACACCUGUCUGUGUAAUGCUAAGCUCACUUAACUUGCUUUACUAUCUGUUGUAUUGCUUAAAAGGACUAAACUUGAAACCUUUAGUUUCAUGAGUAUAUAACUAAAUCUCAGCAUUUGCAUGGCACUUUUGUAGCUGGCAUUGCAAGGUAUUUAUAUGCCAGAUAUGCUAAACAUUCAUUCCAGAGGACAUUCUUCCAUACUGAUGACACUCAUUAAAAAAAUAAUGCGUUAAUUAAAUGUGUGACUGAACUCGUUGGGGAAGAAUUGUAUAUGUCUGGCUCUAUUUUUCCCCACAUUCUGCCAUAUAUUUCAUGUUAUAGUAGUCUCAGAAAAUGACUCAGCAUAUGUUCAUUUUAAGAACACUUUCGCUGCAGAUUUGACAAAAAGCAAAGAAGGUACCAACGUGAGAUUUCUAAAGAUAGCUACAGCACUGGACACAAGGUUUAAGUCUCUGAAGUGCCUUCCAAAAUCUGAGACGGAUGAGGUGUCGAGUGUGCUUUGAAAAGUCUUAAAGAGUAAUGUACUCCAAUGCGGAAACUAUAGGACCCGAACCACGAAAAAUGAAAAUCAACCUUCUGACAGAUGAUGAAAAGGAAUAUGCAUCGGUCCGCACUGCUUUGGAUGGUUAUUGAGCAGAACCCGUCGUCAGCAUGGACACGUGUCCUCUGGAAUGGGGACUGAAGCAUGAGGGGACAUCUGAAUCUUUAGCACAUCGGAAAUGUAAAUAUCUUGCGACACCGGCUACAACAGUGCCACGAGAACACCUGUUCUCACUUUUGUGAACAAGAAGUGGGCAGCAUUACCUCCUGCAUAUAUGUAAGCAAAACUGGUUUGUCUGAGCAAUUGACUGAACAUGAAAUAAGACUGAUUGGACUGUAGGCUUUUAUAUUUUUUACAUUGCUUUAUUUUUGAAUGCAGAUUUUUUUUUUUUACAUAAUUUUACAUUUGUAAGUUCAACUUUCAUGAUCGCACUACAGUAUUUGUAGUAGGUGAACUGAAAAGUACUAUUUCUUUUGUUUUUUACAGUGCAAAUAUUUGUAAUAAAAAUAUAAAGUGAGCACUAUACACUUUGUAUUCUGUUAUAAUUGAAAUCAAUAUUUGAAAAUGUAGAAAACAUCCAUAAAUAUUUAAAUAAAUGGUAUUCUAUUGUUUAAUCAUGCGAUUAAAAGCAAUUAACUUUUUUAAUUGCUUGACAGCUCUAAGAAGUUGAAUUAUAGUUGUUCUAGUCCAGUUACUUCAUUACGUUUAUACUUGGUUAUUUGAUAUUCUGUCUCAGUUUAGUUGUUGAAUUAUGUUAAAAAUGUUUAGUUACUAGUUAGUUAGUUAAUAUUGAUGCUGUUAGUAUCUUAAAGUGAACACCACUGUGGUUAAUGCUCAGAGGUUUUUGAAUUUUAUACUCAGCUUUAUAACUAGGCCAUUCAGUAUAGUUAACCAACCAUAUUUUAAUUUACUUUAUAUUUCAGAAUUUCAUGUUUUGUUUAGAGGUUGUCUUAAGAGUUGCUACAUUGUAUCAUUCAUUUUAUUUACUUGUUUAUGUGGUGUAUAUCAUUUGCAUGAUUUACUUGUUUAUUGGUUUUGUAAUUUUUAAUUACUUAAACAUUCUUUAUUUCAAAGUCAAGUUAAUUGUUUAUUUUGGGGCAGCAAUGUGUAAAAGGAUCUGUGUUAAGUUUUGCGGUGAUGCACCCCCAGUGCAGUCUCAUUAAUAACCAUAAUCAGUAAGUCCAGCUUUUGAUUUGGUUUUCCUGAACUAGUCAUGUGAGGAGCAAUUAAUUAGAUAAAUAAUUCCAUCUAAUUAAUUGUUUCCCCAAAGUAUUCAUUUUGCUAAUUGCUUGUUUCUUUUUGUAAUUUCACUGGCAUCCAACCCCUACCACACCAGGCCUUCAAAAGCUUUUGUUUCUUAAUUUUAUAAUAUUUACUAUAACAACUCUGGAUAUUCCUGUUAUCCAUGUAAAUGUCUGUUUUAUUACAUCUGCUAAGUUCUUGACCUUAGUACUAUCUUACAGCAUUUUAUUUGAGUAAAAACACACAUCAUGGUCUGAA